CCUUGGUGGUUCAAAUGGUGAAGAGUCUGCUUGCAAUGCAGGAGACCUGGGUUCGAUCCCAGGUCGAGAA
rnacentral:tRNA from 1 species